rnacentral:misc_RNA from 1 species
CCAAUAGCGUAUAUUAAAGUUGUUGCAGUUAAAAAGCUCGUAGUUGAAUUUCGGGAUCAAUUUGCUGGUCGUGCCUUCGGUACGCACUGGUAUUAUUGGUUUCUCCUUUCUGAUGAAUCGCGAUGUCAUUAAUUUGGUGUCGUGGGGAAUCAGGACCGUUACUUUGAAAAAAUUAGAGUGUUUAAAGCAGGCUCACGCUUGAAUACAUUAGCAUGGAAUAAUGAAAUAGGACGUUUGAUUCUAUUUUGUUGGUUUCUAGGAUCGACGUAAUGAUUAAUAGGGAUAGUUGGGGGCAUUAGUAUUCAAUUGUCAGAGGUGAAAUUCUUGGAUUUAUUGAAGACUAACUACUGCGAAAGCAUUUGCCAAGGAUGUUUUCAUUAAUCAAGAACGAAAGUUAGGGGAACGAAGACGAUCAGAUACCGUCGUAGUCUUAACCAUAAACUAUGCCGACUAGGGAUCGGAUGAUGUUAAUUUUUUAAUGACUCAUUCGGCGCCUUACG